GCCAGGCGUGCUGGCGCAUGCCUGUAAUCCCAGCUACUUGGGAGGCUAAGGCACGAGAAUCACUUGAACCCAGGAGGUGGAGAUUGUAGUGAGCCGAGAUCAUGCCACUGCACUCCAGCCUGGGCAACAGAGUGAGACCCUGUCUUUA
rnacentral:SRP_RNA from 1 species